AAGUCGUAACAAGGUCUCCGUUGGUGAACCAGCGGAGGGAUCAUUACCAAAGCUUACGCUCAAACCCUUUGUGAACCCUACCAACUGUUGCUCGGCGCCCGACGGUCGUGCGGACCCGGGACCCACCGCGGGGUGGGCCCCGGAUCUUCGCCCCCGCCCGACGGCGUCAAAGGAACCCACACUCUAUUUUCACAGCGUACCAACUCUGAUUAAUAAGACAAACAGUCAAAACUUUCAACAACGGAUCUCUUGGUUCUG
rnacentral:misc_RNA from 1 species